rnacentral:rRNA from 1 species
AGAGUUUGAUCCUGGCUCAGGACGAACGCUGGCGGCGCGCCUAACACAUGCAAGUCGAACGAGCGAGAGAGAGCUUGCUUUCUCGAGCGAGUGGCGAACGGGUGAGUAACGCGUGAGGAACCUGCCUCAAAGAGGGGGACAACAGUUGGAAACGACUGCUAAUACCGCAUAAGCCCACGGCUCGGCAUCGAGCAGAGGGAAAAGGAGCAAUCCGCUUUGAGAUGGCCUCGCGUCCGAUUAGCUAGUUGGUGAGGUAACGGCCCACCAAGGCGACGAUCGGUAGCCGGACUGAGAGGUUGAACGGCCACAUUGGGACUGAGACACGGCCCAGACUCCUACGGGAGGCAGCAGUGGGGAAUAUUGCACAAUGGGGGAAACCCUGAUGCAGCGACGCCGCGUGGAGGAAGAAGGUCUUCGGAUUGUAAACUCCUGUUGUUGAGGAAGAUAAUGACGGUACUCAACAAGGAAGUGACGGCUAACUACGUGCCAGCAGCCGCGGUAAAACGUAGGUCACAAGCGUUGUCCGGAAUUACUGGGUGUAAAGGGAGCGCAGGCGGGAAGACAAGUUGGAAGUGAAAUCCAUGGGCUCAACCCAUGAACUGCUUUCAAAACUGUUUUUCUUGAGUAGUGCAGAGGUAGGCGGAAUUCCCGGUGUAGCGGUGGAAUGCGUAGAUAUCGGGAGGAACACCAGUGGCGAAGGCGGCCUACUGGGCACCAACUGACGCUGAGGCUCGAAAGUGUGGGUAGCAAACAGGAUUAGAUACCCUGGUAGUCCACACUGUAAACGAUGAUUACUAGGUGUUGGAGGAUUGACCCCUUCAGUGCCGCAGUUAACACAAUAAGUAAUCCACCUGGGGAGUACGACCGCAAGGUUG